UCAGGACGAACGCUGGCGGCGUGCCUAAUACAUGCAAGUCGAACGGCUUUUCUAUGGAAGUUUGCUUCCACUGAGAAGAUAGUGGCGAACGGGUGAGUAACACGUGGGUAACCUGCCCAUAAGAGGGGGAUAACAUCCGGAAACGGGUGCUAAUACCGCAUAGUUUUCUCGAUCGCAUGAUCGGGAAAGGAAAGACGGCCUUUGUGCUGUCGCUUAUGGAUGGACCCGCGGCGUAUUAGUUAGUUGGUGAGGUAAUGGCUCACCAAGACGAUGAUACGUAGCCGACCUGAGAGGGUGAUCGGCCACAUUGGGACUGAGACACGGCCCAAACUCCUACGGGAGGCAGCAGUAGGGAAUCUUCCGCAAUGGACGAAAGUCUGACGGGGCAGCGCCGCGUGAGUGAAAGAAGGUUUUCGGAUCGUAAAACUCUGUUGUCAGAGAAGAACAAGUUGGAGAGUAACUGCUCCAGCCUUGACGGUAUCUGACCAAAAAGCCACGGCUAACUACGUGCCAGCCGCCGC
rnacentral:rRNA from 1 species